rnacentral:rRNA from 1 species
CUGGCGGCGUGCCUAAUACAUGCAAGUCGAACGGCUUUUCUAUGGAAGCUUGCUUCCACUGAGAAGAUAGUGGCGAACGGGUGAGUAACACGUGGGGUAACCUGCCCAUAAGAGGGGGGAUAACAUCCGGAAACGGGUGCUAAUACCGCAUAGUUUUCUUGAUCGCAUGAUCGGGAAAGGAAAGACGGCCUUUGUGCUGUCGCUUAUGGAUGGACCCGCGGCGUAUUAGUUAGUUGGUGAGGUAACGGCUCACCAAGACGAUGAUACGUAGCCGACCUGAGAGGGUGAUCGGCCACAUUGGGACUGAGACACGGCCCAAACUCCUACGGGAGGCAGCAGUAGGGAAUCUUCCGCAAUGGACGAAAGUCUGACGGAGCAACGCCGCGUGAGUGAAGAAGGUUUUUUCGGAUCGUAAAACUCUGUUGUCAGAGAAGAACAAGUUGGAGAGUAACUGCUCCAGCCUUGACGGUAUCUGACCAGAAAGCCACGGCUAACUACGUGCCAGCAGCUGC